rnacentral:lncRNA from 1 species
GAAAAUUUUAUCCUAGUAUAUAAAGAAAAUAACCCUAAUUUUGUUAAAAUAUAAACCUUCCUGUUUCUAAAACGGUGCUGUGCUUCUCUCUCUCUCCUCCCUUGCGCCGUUAAGCACCGCCAUCUCUCUCAUUGUUAACCACCGACACCUCUCUCUCAUCGUUAACCUCCACCGUUUUCUUGCGAAUCUUCUUGUCAAGGUAUGAUGUGGCUGUUUCUUCUCGCCUUGAUAUCUUCGUUGUUCGAUUCAUGAAUUUAGCACCAUAUGAUGGAGAUGCAGGCGAUGUAGGAGAAGAUGAAGAUAGAGAAGGAGAAAACGGAGGAUCUGCUGAAGGAGAAGGACGAGAUCCUGAGGAAGAAGGAAGAGGAACUCGAGACUGAGGGAUGUUGAGCAGGAGAAGAUGAAAAAACUGCAGAAGAUGAAGGAAUUCAAGCCUCUCCAUUUUUUAGCAAUUUAGGUUCUGUGAACAUAUUGGAAUGGGUUCUAAAUGGUUUUUGUGAUAUAUUCAGAAAUUGUAAUUAAUCAUAUUGAAUUUGUAGUUCAUGGAUGACUCGCUUGGUACAUAUUGCUUGAUUAGUAGUAGUAGUAAUAUCAACGGAGAUCUUAGAUUUGUACAAAAAUUGAUUCAUGAUCUAUUCUCUGUAUUCUCCUUUACAGUUUUAUUGUUUUAUUAACCUGCACCAUGGUUGGUUUGAUUUCUAUGCUUGUGUUUAAGAUGCUGAAUUGUUUAUUUGGUGGCAAGAAUGUUAGAUUAAGCUGU